CCUACGGGAGGCAGCAGUGAGGAAUAUUGGUCAAUGGGCGGAAGCCUGAACCAGCCAAGUAGCGUGAAGGAUGACGGCCCUACGGGUUGUAAACUGCUUUUAAACGGGAAUAACGCUCAUUACGUGUAGGGCUUUGCAUGUACCAUAUGAAUAAGGACCGGCUAAUUCCGUGCCAGCAGCCGCGGUAAUACGGAAGGUCCGGGCGUUAUCCGGAUUUAUUGGGUUUAAAGGGAGCGUAGGCGGAAUUUCAAGCGUGUUGUGAAAUGUCCGGGCUCAACCGGAGCAUUGCAGUGGGAACUGGGGUGCUUGAGUCCGGCGAAGGUAGGCGGAAUUCGUGGUGUAGCGGUGAAAUGCUUAGAUAUGACGAAGAACCCCGAUUGCGAAGGCAGCUUGCUGGAGCGGAACUGACGCUGAUGCUCGAAAGCGUGGGUAUCGAACAGGAUUAGAUACCCUUGUAGUC
rnacentral:rRNA from 1 species